AUCAUGGCUCGUACAAAGCAAACAGCUCGUAAAUCUACUGGUGGUAAGGCACCACGUAAGCAGCUGGCUACAAAGGCAGCGCGUAAGUCUGCACCUUCGUGGAGGUGUGAAAAAGCCUCAUGUUACCGCCUGGAAUGUUCCCCUCCGAAAAAUUCGUCGUUACCAGAAGUCCACAGAGUUUGAUCCGCAAUUCCCCUUCCAACCCCUUGUUGUAAAAUUUGCACAGGAUUUAAAACGGAUCUACGUUUAAAAGUGCUGCUAUUGGUGCCCUGCAGGAAGCUUCAGAGGCCUACCUUGUUGGCUUGUUUGAAGACACUAACUUGUGUGCUAUUCAUGCCAAGCGUGUCACAAUCAUGCCAAAGGAUAUCCAGCUUGCUCGACGAAUCCGUGGUGAGCGUGCUUAAGCACAAGCUUGCAUAAUGGGCUCACUAAAGACAUAACCUCGUAAGCUACAUACUGCCAUGGACAAAGUGAAUGUGUUUAGUUUAACAUUUUCGGCAUGUCGUUUCUCCUGAAUUGACUUCGCAGUGCUGGCAUGUGCGACUGGCACAAGUUUUUUUUACCGUAAGAUAAGGUGAGCAGCUUUUACUGCUCGUUAGUUGAAAAAAAUUGUGAUGCAAGAGUUUGUAAUUUAUUUUGUGUGUACAGCAUUGUUCAGAACUGUGUAUUUGGAUGUGAUUUUACAUUUAUUUGUAUGCAAGUCUGAAAUUCAGCAGUGUGACGAAGACAAAAAUACACAGCUCUGGUGUUAGGUUAUGUGAUCACAAAUAAUAUUCCAAAGUACAAGAAAUCAUAAAUUUCUGGCCUGGGAGCAAUGUCAUUAUUUGUAUUGUCAUGGUCAUAGUGCUCAUGAUCUUUUAGUUUGUAGUGGGAAUACCUUUUUUAUUACAUUUUUAAUUUUGUCUAGAUCUCUCUCUCCUCCUCUGGUGGUGCGUGCUUCAUGUAUAAAAUUUAACAUGCUCCACUCUAUAAUUUCUUGAUAUUGGCAAUUGCACUGUAGAUUAAAACUCGAAAUAAAUCUUCUAACAUUUAA